rnacentral:lncRNA from 1 species
GUGGGAGCUUCUUCAAAGAAUCUGCAAAAAAAAUCAAAAAACUGGAUGGGAAUCCUCUGAUUUUUGACUCUCCGAUACUUAAGUCAGUUCAAACCUCGAGAAUAGAAGAUGAAAAAAUAAAAGAAUAGAGAACAGUAAGAUUGAGAGAAGCUAGAGAGUUUGUGACUUUGUAGGAGUUAGAGUCCCAACGGUGGAGUCUCUCUCUAGUAUGAGUUUGGGACUUGAAAGACAGAACUUACCUGGAGGAUCUCUUGGUCCUUUAUUUAUAGAGGAGUUGAUGAGAUCGUUACAAAGUUUAUUAGGUCGUUAGAGAAGUUUGUUAGGCCAUUGAAGAUCAGCUGUAUGUGAGUUAGAGCAUAGCUAUAUGUAUUAAUUGGAAAUGAGGUCAUACUUAGCUAUAUGUGCCAACUGGAGAUGAGUUGUAGCACAGCUGUAUGUGAGAUCGUGUCCAAUUGUAACUUUGAUGCAGAGAUUGUAGCUGAAAUAUUGGGGUGAGAUCAAGUAUCAUAUGAGACCAUCUCGGAUAUAUAGAAUAUCUUGCUUCAGGUCUUCAGGUCGAUUUUUAUAUGAGCUGAAAUAAGUUAGGUCUGUAUUUAUAUGAGCUGAGAUGAGUCAAAUCGGUAUUUAAAUGAUCUGCAAUGAGUCAGGUCGGCAUUCAGUCUUCAAGUCAACUUCAUGAUAGAUAGCCUCCAAUUAAGAUCAGCUUUCUAAUGACCUCGACCUUCUAGUCAGAUCAGAUUUCUGGUGACCUCGAGUUGAGGUCGAUUUUUUAGUGACCUCGGCCUUCUGAUCAGGUCGGAUUUUUGAUGACCUCAAGUUAAGGUUGGUUUUAUGAUGAGUUGAGGUGGGAUAAUCCCCAUAAUACUUGCCCCCCAUUUCUAAAUCCGAAGAAUUCAUUUUGGAGGAAAGAAGUAGCCCAAAAAAUAAGUUCUCAGUUUACUCGAGGUGGCGAAUUUGUACCAUUUGAUUUUUCAAGUGAAUUGCUUAGAUUUUUUAUCCGAUGUAACUUGGAAUAGAUUGGAAGAUAUCCUAGAUCUGGAGAUUGGUAUUUAGUGGAAUUUCAAGAUAACUUUAAUCCUGAGAUUUGUAUCAAAAUAACUCCAACCCUGAGGUUGGUAUUUUAUAUAGCUGAAAGAUAUCCUCGAUUGUG